rnacentral:lncRNA from 1 species
AAACUCUUUUUCAAAAUAUCUUUCCGCACUCAAACAUCUUGGAACUUCUUCUCCCAGUGAUCGGCUCUAGCCUUUUCUUUUUCAAUUUCUUGACGCCACUGAUCCGAUGUCUUACCCAAACUAGCUAUUCUUAUUGACACACGCAGCUUCUUAUAAUCAGUCUUCAGACUAUCCAAGUCCUCUUCAGCCUUAUUCUUCCCUUUCCUUAGCUUCUC